GCAGUGCGAGUUCAGCCCGCUUUCUUCGCGCUCCGCGUCAAAUCUCUCCAGCUCUGUUCUCGCAUCCCGGGUUUAGAUCCCGCAGAGUUAAGUAUCCCGCGUGUGAAGGGAUGAACUGAGACUCCCAGAGGGCAUAACUGAUGGAGGCACGAAGAUGUCUGCUCUUCAGCUUUGCCAAGGUUGAACACAUUGUGAGUAGAAGAUCUCUUUCCCCAGGAAAUAGGAUGGAGAGAGUCUUUGGAGAAUGGCCUCACUGAAAUGCUAAGUCAGCUUCCUCCAGAUUUUGAGCUCGGCAAGUUUUUCUUUGUUUUUUGAUACAAACUGAAAGAUGCCUUUGGUUAUAUCUACCCACUGAAAACAAGAUGCCAUCUCUGGAUUACACAGGGAUUCGUGAAGGCUGACAUUUGUCUAUUUGUUAAAAAAUGUACAUGUCAUAUACACCAUGGAAUACUAUGCAGCCAUAAAAAGGAAUGAGAUCAUGUCCUUUGCAGGGACAUGGAUGAAGCUGGAAACCAUCAUCCUCAGCAAACACAGGAACAGAAAACCAAAAACUGCAUGUUCUCACUUAUAGGUGGGAGUUGAAUGAUGAGAAUACAUGGACACAGGGAGGGGAACAUCACACACCAGGGCCUGUUGCAGGGUCGGGGAGAGGGGAGGGAGAGCAUUAGGACAAAUAGCUAAUGUAUGCAGGGCUUAAAACCUUGAUGAUGGGUUGAUAGGUGUGGCAAACCCACCAUGGCACACGUAUACCUAUGUAACAAACCUGCAUGUUGUGCACUUUUAUCCUAGAA
rnacentral:lncRNA from 1 species